rnacentral:rRNA from 1 species
CAUGUGGUUUAAUUCGAUGGUACACGAGGAACCUUACCUGGGCUUGACAUGCACAGGAAUACGGCAGAGAUGUCGUAGUCCGCAAGGGAUCUGUGAACAGGUGCUGCAUGGCUGUCGUCAGCUCGUGUCGUGAGAUGUUGGGUUAAGUCCCGCAACGAGCGCAACCCUUGUCAUUAGUUGCUACAUUCAGUUGGGCACUCUAAUGAGACUGCCGGUGACAAACCGGAGGAAGGUGGGAUGACGUCAAGUCCUCAUGGCCCUUAUAGGUGGGGCUACACACGUCAUACAAUGGAUGGUACAAAGGGUCGCCAACCCGCGAGGGGGAGCCAAUCCCAUAAAGCCAUUCGUAGUCCGGAUCGCAGUCUGCAACUCGACUGCGUGAAGUCGGAAUCGCUAGUAAUCGUGGAUCAGAAUGUCACGGUGAAUACGUUCCCGGGUCUU